rnacentral:rRNA from 1 species
AACGGGGGGAACUAGCGUUAUUCGUCGUAACUGGGCGUAAAGGGUGCGUAGGUGGUAAUGCAAACAUAAAGUAAAAGAGCAGAAUAAAAUUCUAAUCCGCUUUACUGCAUUACAUUACUAGAGUUUAGGAAAAGAUUAAGGUAUUCUUGAAAAAACAGUGAAAUGUUCAGAUUUCAUUAAGACCACCAAUAAGCGAAGGCGUUAAUCUAGACUAAUCUGACGCUGAGGCACUAAAGCAUGUGGGAGCAAACGGG